GGGGAAUAUUGCACAAUGGGGGAAACCCUGAUGCAGCGACGCCGCGUGGAGGAAGAAGGUCUUCGGAUUGUAAACUCCUGUUGUUGAGGAAGAUAAUGACGGUACUCAACAAGGAAGUGACGGCUAACUACGUGCCAGCAGCCGCGGUAAAACGUAGGUCACAAGCGUUGUCCGGAAUUACUGGGUGUAAAGGGAGCGCAGGCGGACCGGCAAGUUGGAAGUGAAAACUAUGGGCUCAACCCAUAAAUUGCUUUCAAAACUGCUGGCCUUGAGUAGUGCAGAGGUAGGUGGAAUUCCCGGUGUAGCGGUGGAAUGCGUAGAUAUCGGGAGGAACACCAGUGGCGAAGGCGACCUACUGGGCACCAACUGACGCUGAGGCUCGAAAGCAUGGGUAGCAAACAGGAUUAGAUACCCUGGUAGUCCAUGCCGUAAACGAUGAUUACUAGGUGUUGGAGGAUUGACCCCUUCAGUGCCGCAGUUAACACAAUAAGUAAUCCACCUGGGGAGUACGACCGCAAGGUUGAAACUCAAAGGAAUUGACGGGGGCCCGCACAAGCAGUGGAGUAUGUGGUUUAAUUCGAAGCAACGCGAAGAACCUUACCAGGUCUUGACAUCCGAUGAAUAGCUUAGAGAUAAGUGAAGUCCUUCGGGACAUCGAGACAGGUGGUGCAUGGUUGUCGUCAGCUCGUGUCGUGAGAUGUUGGGUUAAGUCCCGCAACGAGCGCAACCCUUAUUGCCAGUUACUACGAAAGAGGACUCUGGCGAGACUGCCGUUGACAAAACGGAGGAAGGUGGGGAUGACGUCAAAUCAUCAUGCCCUUUAUGACCUGGGCUACACACGUACUACAAUGGCGUUUAACAAAGAGAAGCAAGACCGCGAGGUGGAGCAAAACUCAAAAACAACGUCUCAGUUCAGAUUGCAGGCUGCAACUCGCCUGCAUGAAGUCGGAAUUGCUAGUAAUCGCGGAUCAGCAUGCCGCGGUGAAUACGUUCCCG
rnacentral:rRNA from 1 species